rnacentral:rRNA from 1 species
GUGGGGAAUAUUGCACAAUGGGCGCAAGCCUGAUGCAGCCAUGCCGCGUGUAUGAAGAAGGCCUUCGGGUUGUAAAGUACUUUCAGUCGGGAGGAAGGUGGUAAGGUUAAUAACCUUAUCAAUUGACGUUACCGACAGAAGAAGCACCGGCUAACUCCGUGCCAGCAGCCGCGGUAAUACGGAGGGUGCAAGCGUUAAUCGGAAUUACUGGGCGUAAAGCGCACGCAGGCGGUUGAUUGAGUCAGAUGUGAAAUCCCCGGGCUUAACCCGGGAAUUGCAUCUGAUACUGGUCAGCUAGAGUCUUGUAGAGGGGGGUAGAAUUCCAUGUGUAGCGGUGAAAUGCGUAGAGAUGUGGAGGAAUACCGGUGGCGAAGGCGGCCCCCUGGACAAAGACUGACGCUCAGGUGCGAAAGCGUGGGGAGCAAACAGGA